rnacentral:rRNA from 1 species
AGAGCGAACGCUGGCGGCAGGCCUAAUACAUGCAAGUCGAACGGAUCCUUCGGGAUUAGUGGCGGACGGGUGAGUAACACGUGGGAACGUACCCUUUGGUUCGGAACAACUCAGGGAAACUUGAGCUAAUACCGAAUGUGCCCUUCGGGGAAAAGAUUUAUCGCCAUUGGAGCGGCCCGCGUCUGAUUAGCUAGUUGGUAGGGUAAAGGCCUACCAAGGCUACGAUCAGUAGCUGGUCUGAGAGGAUGAUCAGCCACACUGGGACUGAGACACGGCCCAGACUCCUACGGGAGGCAGCAGUAGGGAAUCUUGCGCAAUGGGCGAAAGCCUGACGCAGCCAUGCCGCGUGAAUGAUGAAGGUCUUAGGAUUGUAAAAUUCUUUCAGCGGGACGAUAAUGACGGUACCGCAGAAGAACGCCCCGGCUAACUUCGUGCCAGCAGCCGC